AGUACCUGACACUACUUUUAUCUCAUUUUUAAAAACUAACUUUCAAAUUGAUGUCCCUCUGACUUCAUACUAGUGAGGGUGAGGGAAGCAAGUAGGAUCCCUUCUACCUGUCCUCUAAAAUUUCAGAAAUAAUCUUUGUGCAUCUAGCUAUAUGAAGUAAAUUGAAAAAAAUUGUCUUACCCAAUCUCAUACAAUUUCACACCCACUUUUCUAAAGGCGUGUUGUCAAUUUUACAAUGUAUGAUCCUGAUUCAGCAACUGGAGCUGUUCAUUGGAUGCAGAGUUCUUUGUGAGCAGAUCCAGUUGCAAAAUCUAGUAGCUUGUGAAAGUGACUGUCUCCCAAAAAACCCUACUCAGUAUAGGGUGACCAGUUGUCCCGAUUUUAUAGGGACUUUGUUUUAUAUAGGCACCUAUUACCCACCACCCCGUCCUGAUUUUCACACUUGCUGACUGGUCAUCCUAACUCAGCUACUACCUAUUCCAGCAUAUGCUCCAUUCCCAAAUGGAUCCUUAAUACAAAUAUCUAUUACUACUGUGCCCUACCCAUCUAAAAAGCGUGACCUUUAAUAGGUUUUUGUUCAUUGGUACUUGCUCAGAGUAAAAUGCACGGUACAAAAGAACUGCAGUUCUCCCCCAUUUUACCUUGCAGACUACCCUUCCAGUUGAGGCUAAGUGGACCAGUCCCUUUGAAUAUUCCUUUAUUAAAAACAGCCAGAAUGCUACACCAGUACAAGAAUGGACACUUUGAGUAUAGCAAACCAAUUGUAGGAUUUGUCCUCAACCUCAUCCAACAGAGAAGUGACUAUGAAAGAAAAAGAUGCCUUCUGGCCUCAUCAUGUUUCUGGACCAUCCAAACAUACAAGUUCUGCAUUUAGCUUUUCAGAUGUGAUCCCAACAAUUGUCUUCAGCUUCUAGCAAGAGAAAUACAAAUGUAUUGAAUACUCCUCGUAUGAGCCAAACAGAGAUUCCAGAAGUAUCCAAUUAAAAGUUCAAAGCACAACUCUUCCUUAACAGUUCCAACAAGAAUGCAAAGACCAUUACUCUUCACAUUGAAGGACUAGAUAAUGUGGAAGAAGAGAUAGGCGAGCCUUGAUACAAAUCAAGCUUUUACAAGCCUUCUUUUGACCAUCAUUGUACUGCUGGCUUCUGAAUUAGACUAAACAGACUAGCGGAGGAUUCACAAGAUUUAUCAAGACACUGAAAGCAACAAACUAAAAUGGAGACAUUUGAGAAUGAUAAUUUGAAAAAAGUGUUGGAUAUAUAAUAUUAAAGAAGAC